UUCGGUCAAGUUGAACGGAUGACUUAGUGGCGGACGGGUGAGUAACGCGUGAGGAACCUGCCUUUCAGUGGGGGACAACAGUUGGAAACGACUGCUAAUACCGCAUAAUGUAUUUUGACCGCAUGAUCGGAAUACCAAAGAUUUAUUGCUGAAAGAUGGCCUCGCGUCUGAUUAGAUAGUUGGUGAGGUAACGGCUCACCAAGUCGACGAUCAGUAGCCGGACUGAGAGGUUGAACGGCCACAUUGGGACUGAGAUACGGCCCAGACUCC
rnacentral:rRNA from 1 species